rnacentral:tRNA from 1 species
UCGUAGCUCAAUUGGAUAGAGCAUCUGACUACGGAUCAGAAGGUUGUGAGUUCGAAUCCCGCCGGGU